UAAUAUAUUGUAAGGGAACGUCGUCGGUUUGACGUUUGUCGAACUGUCAAAUUCAAUUGACAGGAUAAGACAAGCGACACUUCCGCCCACUUCCGCUCCAGACCGCACCGCGACCGGUGCAUGAUAUCGCUUUUGAAUCGUAUCUCUUUAUUGUUAUCCUUUGUAGCCAGAAAUUGGUAAUAUCAAGCAUUGUAUUUGUGUUAGUAAUAUUAAAACCAUUUAGUAAGUUGUAGAGGUGGUUUCAUUCUCCUUACAUCAGAAGUGGGAUUCCUACCUAUUGCAUAUCCACGUGCAGUCUUUAAUUAUCAAUUUCUGGCUUCUUGAUUCGUGGCGUAACUAGUGACGGAUUACUGUGUAAUUGCGUGUAACAAUGGGCAAACGUGAUCGUUCACGCAGUGGAUCUCACAUAUCCCGUGGGGAUCCGUGUUCGAGGAGUCGACACUCAAAACGGCGUCGGCAUCGUAACCGUCUCGCGCGCAGCCCGCGAACUCGGAGUAAUUCAGUGCUACGUAACUCCUUUCAAACAAUUCUAAUGGCUAAACGCGUUAGAGGAUAGAUCUUCGUUAGGUACGUCGUCUAAUAUCGAAGUACCACCAUCAAAUUGUGAUUCGACAGAAAAAGUCGUUGAGGCAAUUCAUUCUUUAAAAUAUGGCGGAACACGUGAUUUUUACGUUUCAAAUUUCGACCCGAAUAUACACAACGUUGAUGCCUGGUUUGAUGAGGUAGACCGAGCUCAAAAUUCUUAAUAAGUGGAAUGAUGUUGAAUGUUUGUCACGUAUCGGUCACUGUCUUAAAGGCGACGCGAAAUCUUGGUUAGACGAGUGGGUUACCUACUACGGAUCGGUCCUGGAGUAACUUCCAACGAGAUUUUAAAUCAUUGUGUGCGAGAUUGACGUAGCGAACAUGUUAUACGAGGUCAUGAGUACCAAUUCUGAUAGUUUUGUUACGUAUACGUAAGACGAUCAUUAUUACGAUUACAAGUUGUGAAAGGGUUAAGUGACGAACUAAUUAGCGCGAUCGUUAUGCGUGGGGUCAAUGAACCUAACUUAAAAGCUGCUGCUACAAAUAAAAAUCUGAAACCGUGUGAGUUAGUUAAUUAUUUUUCUACUUUUGUAAAACCAGUCGGGAGUAAAAAUGAAGGUCGCGUAAAUCGAGACUGUUCACUCUAAAGAGGCUGUAAAAUUACAUUACUUAAUACAGACCUGCUCAAAAUCCUACACUUAAAUGUUUUUCAUAAUGAUGAAAUAUUAUCGCUAUCUUUGAAACUGAUUUAAAUACGAAGGCACAUACUGAUGCUAGUAGUUAUGGUUACGGUACUUAAAAUCUUUCAUAAUUAAAAUUGUCACAUUGGUGCAUAUAAAACUAUUGGAUUGAUCCCAAAUCACUUUUGGUUAAGGAACCAUGUCUUCAUGCUUUUGUGAAAAAGUACAUGGCAUAUUGUUUAGCUUGCAUGGCUAGUAAGUGGAUUCUUUAAGCACCAUUACAACCUAUUACUUCAUGGCAAAAGCCAGAAGUUGCUUUAACACCUAAAGUAAGUUGCUUCAUACCAAUGUCCUGGGUCCUCUACUGGAAUAAUAGCUAUAAGCAUGUUCUUCUUCUGGUUGAUGCUUUUUCUAAUUGCUGUCUUAUUUACCUACUGUACACACAGUAUUCUUAUGAGCUACAGAAAGCAUUUAUAAAUGCUAUCUCCUUGUAUUGCACUCUGCAUCUUAUAGAUGCUGAUUGUGGUUGCAAGUUAGAAUCAGCAAACUUUGUAAAAUGGGGUAAUGAUUUAGGAUGCUCCAUUCACUACAUAACUCUUGAGAUGCAUCAUGCCAAUGGUCAAGUGGAGCGGUGUUUGUACUCUUUUCAAUAUGUUAAGGGUUGAGACCUGUAACAGGAAGAAUAAGUGGUUUGAAGAGCUGUGGCAUUCGCAAAAUGUCACCAAACAGGAAACUACUCAAGCGUCUCCACUCAACUUUUUGAUUGGCAUUGGAGUGUGACACAGUAUGCUGAGCACCUCAUGUUUUCCAAAAGGAAGACCUUGCUAUUGUCAUAACUAGAUCCUGGAAUGCACGGACCUUAUAGGGUCACAAGAAUCUUGAAGGAUGACUGAAAUGAGUUGAAACUUGUUGCUGGGGCUUAUGGAAAGGUAACUUUGCUGUGUUGCAGUUCAUAGUGCCCUGGAAUGGCGAAUGGACUCCUUAUGGGUGUGCUGCUUUCUUUGCAUAUCCUUCCGAUGACAGAGGUGCUGAGCACUCCAGUCUUCGACGGUGAAGAAGUUGGUGCAACAACGCCUGUCGAGGACGCCAGUGUGUCAGGAGAGGCCGUGUAAGGGAACGUCGUCGGUUUGACGUUUGUCGAACUGUCAAAUUCAAUUGACAGGACAAGACAAGCAACACUUCCGCCCACUUCCGCUCCAGACCGCACCGCGACCGGUGCAUGAUAUCGCUUUUGAAUCGUAUCUCUUUAUUGUUAUCCUUUGUAGCCAGAAAUUGGUAAUAUCAAGCAUUGUAUUUGUGUUAGUAAUAUUAAAACCAUUUAGUAAGUUGUA